AAAAACAGGACUCCUGUCUCGAUUGGGGAUCUCUUCAAAACUAUUCCUUUCCCCGGCGCAUUUGGAUUGCCUUUUAAGGCCCUUUGUAACGCAUUUCCACAUACAGAAAGCAAGUGUAACAGAGAGAGAGAGAGAGAGAGAGAGAGAGAGAGAGAGAGAGAGGAAUGGCGGAAAUUGGAGCGAAACGGAGGGUUCUGAGAUGGAUUUCGAUGGUAUCGUGGAGCGUUCCUGUAGCAUCAAUGCUUGCUUCAGCCGAAAGAGCCUUCAAAUUACAGCAAGCGUCAACCCAAACCCCAGCCGUCGAAGCGUCGGGAUCGGACUAUCUUUUGGAAGUUGUGAAUUUGUUGUGGCAAUCGGAUCGAUCAUCGGGUUACCAACACGUUUGGCCUGUAAGUGGAAAUUAUGAAUUUGAUUAGGGUAGUGAUUUUCAAGCUUCUUUUCCGGUUGAUCGAUGCCCCAUGUUAAUCAACACAAGAGUCAUUUUCAUCACGACACGGGACUCAACAGUUGUGAAUAAAUUGAGAUACAAAAAAGGCAGGGCCGUAAAACGCUCCGAUUUUUGGGAUGUUAAUUAAACAUUUUUCCCAUUUUUCCAAAAA